CCUACGGGAGGCAGCAGUGGGGAAUAUUGCACAAUGGGGGAAACCCUGAUGCAGCAAUGCCGCGUGAAGGAUGAAGGUUUUCGGAUUGUAAACUUCUUUUGUACGGGACGAAACAAAUGACGGUACCGUAAGAAUAAGCCACGGCUAACUACGUGCCAGCAGCCGCGGUAAUACGUAGGUGGCAAGCGUUAUCCGGAUUUACUGGGUGUAAAGGGCGAGUAGGCGGGAUUGCAAGUCAGAUGUGAAAACUAUGGGCUCAACCCAUAGACUGCAUUUGAAACUGUAGUUCUUGAGUGAUGGAGAGGCAGGCGGAAUUCCCGGUGUAGCGGUGGAAUGCGUAGAUAUCGGGAGGAACACCAGUGGCGAAGGCGGCCUGCUGGACAUUAACUGACGCUGAGGCGCGAAAGCGUGGGGAGCAAACAGG
rnacentral:rRNA from 1 species